GUCAGCACAGGAGCUGCCUCUUUCCUAGAAGCUGGAGGAACCAUUGGAUAAACUACAAGUUGUCUCUGUCUUCCCCAGGACACAUCAGAGGAUAGUAAGCAGAACAUUCCUGUGGCAAGUAAAAGAAGUAGAGACAGCGCUUUUGGUGGAGAGUUGGAGUCAAACAAUGAGUGCUGUGUUUGAGCACUUGUGAGAUGUCAAAUACUGCUUGGCCAUGUAUAAGGGCUGACAAGACAUGGUUUCUGCCUCUGGAACAGAAGCAAGAUAUGAAGUUCCUCUUGUAGACCUGUACUUUCAUCUGGAAAGAUUUGCUUCUGACAUCUUGCAGUGCUUGGUUGUGACCCUCCUCGCUCCCUCGAAUAACUUGGCUUGCAGGCCAGGUCAGGUGGCGCCUGACGUGGGGAUCGAGGCAUGGGUCAUCCCCAGGACAGAUUAAGCAUCCCGAUCGUCUAGAUUUCAUGACAGUUUCCAAUCGUUGUCCGGGACCCGUCAUUAGGUGAGUCAUCUGUUCUGCAAAGCUCAAGAAUGGGCCACUCUUUGUCCAAAGAGGCUCGUUUCAUUAAAGAUUUGAAAGAGGCCUUCAGAGAGA